UCACCUGCACACAGUGGGAUAAAAUAACAGAUCUGUUGCCUCUGUGGACAUAAACUGAUGUGUCGAGACAAGGCAGAGUAGGUCUGAAAUGAUUAGCUGAGUAAAAAUUGUUGAAAAAUCUACAAUUUCUCCUAAAGUAAAGGGAUUUGAGUUUCCUCUUCAUCAUACCACAUAUAAAACAAACAUUUUGGGGGACUUACAGGCAAAACAGAACUUCACAAAACAUGCUUUGUCUUCAAUUCAAAAAUACCAGUGCUAAUUCCUACAAAAUUUCACACAAAUGUAGUAAAAAAAUAAUGACAACUUAUACCUAAAGGUCAACCUAACUGUGACGUCAUAACAUUCUGCAAAUGUACUUUCCUUACAUGUUAUUCACUGGUACAACUCAGGAACAAAAAAAAAGAUUUUGAAGAACAGUGGAAUUCUGUAAUGUUCAAAAGCUGUAAAAACCAUGAAAAUAACAGCAAACAUAUUUUAAUGAUUUUUUUAGUACAUUUGAAUACACUAUAAAAAGUUGUGUAAUUUUGUGGUCAAAGGUUAAAAAAAAUGCCAUUCAAAAAAUUAUUUAUUAUUUUUCUUAUUAUUUAUUAUGCAUCGAUUUUCUAUAAAUAAUGGCAAAUAUCUGUAAAAUAACCUGUAUUUUUAACAUAUUUAAAUACUGUUUUAAAAAAUGUGCAAUUUUAUGGACAAAUGAAAAAAAUGAAUCACCAUUUGUUAUAAACAAAAAAUCACAAUACAGUGGCUGGAGAUUGAGACAGUUAAAUAAUUUAUUUAACAUUUUUCAGUCCUUAAUAUGUCAGGCCUGCCUCGGCAGGCUCCGGCUAGAGCUCCUCCCUCUUCUUGUUUGUUUUCCUUUUUAGGUAUUGUGUGCUGUGGCAGCGGCGGUAGGUGUGAGCAAUCCUUUGGCAUCAGCAGAAGCAGGAACAGGUGUGCCAGGACCAAUCUGUAAUCUACCUCUACACCAUAUAUUCGGACUCCAGUCAUCAGUUCGACGCCGGAUCGUGAAUGCUCACACUCGGACCCCACCUGCUCUGGUGAUCGAACCAUCUUGCCCUAUUGGACUCAUCAAGACCUCUGCGUUCCAAGCUGACUUCUGGACACAGACUCAUCUCCGUCACUCUUCAGUCCACCGUCCGAUCCCCAUCUGCUGUCGCGACCACCAGCUCCUGCCCCCAGCACAUUAGCACCCUAGCCGACAGUACGGCACCAACACGAGCUGUUUCUAGGCUUUUAGAAUUACGUUUGUCAUAGGUUGGUAUUGUUUGUGGUACCUGUUACCUGGUGAAGGGUUCACCCGGUACUCUUAUUAGUUGAUCUGGUUCAUAGUUUAAUGAUUGCAAACUUUGUUUCCAGUAACUUAAUUGUUUCCCAGCUUCGAGUUCAACCUUUGUUUUAGUAAAGCUUAGUGGCUCCUUCGUUGUAAUUCAUCCUCAGUAUUUUGUGAUCAUUGUUGCGCCUAGCUUCAAGUUAUACUUCAGUUUCCUGUGUGCUUAGUUGCUCAACUAAUCUUCAGCAUUGGCUGUUAUAGUUCUUCGCUUUCCUGCCCAGGUUGUGCCUGCCGUGGGUCCGUUCCUUGUGUUGUUGUGACUUGUAGUUUGUACCGCCCGCCAUUAGGGGCACUCUAGCUCUUUGAGUUUAGUUACUGUAUCUGUUUCCUUUUCCGGAUGCAAGAUCAUAGGGAAUUGUAGUCCCUGUCUCCUUUCGUUUUUGUAAUAAAUCAUUGGGUUAGCA